rnacentral:rRNA from 1 species
UACGGAGGGUGCAAACGUUGCUCGGAAUUAUUGGGCGUAAAGCGCACGUAGGCGGCUUGUUAUGUCCGGUGUGAAAUCCCUCGGCUUAACCGAGGAAGUGCAUUGGAAACUGGCAAGCUUGAGUACUGAAGAGGGUCGCGGAAUUCCCGGUGUAGAGGUGAAAUUCGUAGAUAUCGGGAGGAACACCAGUGGCGAAGGCGGCGACCUGGGCAGAUACUGACGCUGAGGUGCGAAAGCGUGGGGAGCAAAC